UACGGGGGGGGCAAGCGUUGUUCGGAAUUACUGGGCGUAAAGGGCUCGUAGGUGGCCAACUAAGUCAGACGUGAAAUCCCCAGGCUUAACCUGGGAACUGCAUUCGAGACUGCAUUGCUAGAGUAUGGGAGAGGGAAGUGGAAUUUCCGGUGUAGCGGUGAAAUGCGUAGAUAUCGGAAGGAACAUCAGUGGCGAAAGCGACUUCCUGGACCAAUACUGACGCUCAUGUGCGAAAGCGUGGGGAGCAAACAGG
rnacentral:rRNA from 1 species